rnacentral:tmRNA from 1 species
GGGGUUGUCAAGGUUUCGACAGGCAAUAUGAAUCUUUAGAAGCUAUUCGGAGGCGGAGCACGUUAAGCAGCAAAAAAAAUAAGCGAUAACAGAAGUUACGCAUUAGCAGCCUAGUCUGCUAUGUCUAUCAGUAUUUACCUGUAGAUAUUGAAUAGGCAUCAAACAUACAGGAAACGGAAAAUGUUUGUCUCGAGCAUUUUGCCGUAUUAGAGACUAGAAAGAUAUAAGUUUUGUUUAUUCUUCUUAUAUCAAUCGAAAUUUGAUAAAUAAACUAUGAUAGUAGAAGGAGAGUGGAUUAUUGUUUGGAAACGGGUUCGAUUCCCGCCAGCUCCA